GAUGAACGCUGGCGGCGUGCCUAACACAUGCAAGUCGAGCGAACGGACGAGAAGCUUGUUUCUUUGAUGUUAGCGGCGGACGGGUGAGUAACGCGUGGAUAACCUACCUAUCUGACUGGGAUAAUUUCGGGAAACCGGCGCUUAUACCGGAGAAUAUUUUGAACCGCAUGGUUCAAAAGUGAAUGACGGCCUUGCUGUCACGUAUAGCUGGAUCCGCGCUGCAUUAGCUAGUUGGUAAGGUCACGGCCUACCAAGGCAACGAUGCAUAGACGAACUGAGAGGGUGAUCGGCCACACUAGAACGGAGACAGGGUCCAUACUACUACGGGAGGCAGCAGUAGGGAAUCUUCGGCAAUGGGCGAAAGCCUGACAGAGCAAGCCCGCGUGAGUGAUGAAGGUCUUCGGAUCGUAAAGCUCUGUUAUUGGGUAAGAACAGAUGUGUAAGGAAAUGAGGCCAGCUUGACGGUACCUAAUCAAAAAGCCCCGGCUAACUACGUG
rnacentral:rRNA from 1 species